rnacentral:rRNA from 1 species
CCUACGGGAGGCAGCAGUGAGGAAUAUUGGUCAAUGGGCGGGAGCCUGAACCAGCCAAGUCGCGUGAGGGAAGACGGUCCUAUGGAUUGUAAACCUCUUUAGGCGGGGAGCAAUGCCGAGCACGCGUGCCCGGAGGGAGAGUACCCGCAGAAUAAGCAUCGGCUAACUCCGUGCCAGCAGCCGCGGUAUUACGGGGGUUGCGAGCGUUAUCCGGUUUGAUUGGGUUAAAGGGGUGCGUAGGCGGAUGUUUAAGUCAGCGGGAAAAGGUCCGGGUUAAACCCGGGCCGGCCGUUGAAACUGGGGAUCUUGAGUGGGCGAGAGGUAUGCGGAAUGCGUGGUGUAGCGGUGAAAUGCAUAGAUAUCACGCAGAACUCCGAUUGCGAAGGCAGCAUACCGGCGCCCGACUGACGCUGAGGCACGAAAGCGUGGGGAGCGAACAGGAUUAGAUACCCGAGUAGUC